rnacentral:rRNA from 1 species
GUGCCAGCAGCCGCGGUAAUACGUAGGAGGCGAGCGUUGUCCGGAGUUACUGGGCGUAAAGGGUGCGCAGGCGGCGGUUCGCGUGGCGAGAUGAAAUCUCCUGGCUUACCUGGGAGGAUGGUCGCCAGACGGGAUCGCUUGAGGGUCGGAGAGGGGCGUGGAAUUCCGGGUGGAGCGGUGAAAUGCGUAGAGAUCCGGAGGAACACCGACGGCGUAGGCAGCGCCCUGGACGACACCUGACGCUGAGGCACGAAAGCUGGGGGAGCGAACAGGAUUAGAUACCCUGGUAGUCC